rnacentral:rRNA from 1 species
CAGUAGCCACGGUAAUACGAAGGGUGCAAGCGUUAAUCGGAAUUACUGGGCGUAAAGCGUGCGUAGGCGGUUUGUUAAGUCUGUUGUGAAAUCCCCGGGCUCAACCUGGGAAUGGCAAUGGAUACUGGCAAGCUAGAGUGUGUCAGAGGAUGGUGGAAUUCCCGGUGUAGCGGUGAAAUGCGUAGAGAUCGGGAGGAACAUCAGUGGCGAAGGCGGCCAUCUGGGGCAACACUGACGCUGAGGCACGAAAGCGUGGGGAGCAAACAGGAUUAGAUACCCGGGUAGUCCCUGUCUCUUAUAC